rnacentral:rRNA from 1 species
AUACAUGCAAGUCGAACGCUUCUUUUUCCACCGGAGCUUGCUCCACCGGAAAAAGAGGAGUGGCGAACGGGUGAGUAACACGUGGGUAACCUGCCCAUCAGAAGGGGAUAACACUUGGAAACAGGUGCUAAUACCGUAUAACAAUCAAAACCGCAGGUUUUGAUUUGAAAGGCGCUUUCGGGUGUCGCUGAUGGAUGGACCCGCGGUGCAUUAGCUAGUUGGUGAGGUAACGGCUCACCAAGGCCACGAUGCAUAGCCGACCUGAGAGGGUGAUCGGCCACAUUGGGACUGAGACACGGCCCAAACUCCUACGGGAGGCAGCAGUAGGGAAUCUUCGGCAAUGGACGAAAGUCUGACCGAGCAACGCCGCGUGAGUGAAGAAGGUUUUCGGAUCGUAAAACUCUGUUGUUAGAGAAGAACAAGGAUGAGAGUAACUGUUCAUCCCUUGACGGUAUCUAACCAGAAAGCCACGGCUAACUACGUGCCAGCAGCCGCGGUAAUACGUAGGUGGCAAGCGUUGUCCGGAUUUAUUGGGCGUAAAGCGAGCGCAGGCGGUUUCUUAAGUCUGAUGUGAAAGCCCCCGGCUCAACCGGGGAGGGUCAUUGGAAACUGGGAGACUUGAGUGCAGAAGAGGAGAGUGGAAUUCCAUGUGUAGCGGUGAAAUGCGUAGAUAUAUGGAGGAACACCAGUGGCGAAGGCGGCUCUCUGGUCUGUAACUGACGCUGAGGCUCGAAAGCGUGGGGAGCAAACAGGAUUAGAUACCCUGGUAGUCCACGCCGUAAACGAUGAGUGCUAAGUGUUGGAGGGUUUCCGCCCUUCAGUGCUGCAGCUAACGCAUUAAGCACUCCGCCUGGGGAGUACGACCGCAAGGUUGAAACUCAAAGGAAUUGACGGGGGCCCGCACAGCGGUGGAGCAUGUGGUUUAAUUCGAAGCAACGCGAGAACCUUACCAGGUCUUGACAUCCUUUGACCACUCUAGAGAUAGAGCU